GAAAGGCGCUUUCGGGUGUCGCUGAUGGAUGGACCCGCGGUGCAUUAGCUAGUUGGUGAGGUAACGGCUCACCAAGGCCACGAUGCAUAGCCGACCUGAGAGGGUGAUCGGCCACACUGGGACUGAGACACGGCCCAGACUCCUACGGGAGGCAGCAGUAGGGAAUCUUCGGCAAUGGACGAAAGUCUGACCGAGCAACGCCGCGUGAGUGAAGAAGGUUUUCGGAUCGUAAAACUCUGUUGUUAGAGAAGAACAAGGACGUUAGUAACUGAACGUCCCCUGACGGUAUCUAACCAGAAAGCCACGGCUAACUACGUGCCAGCAGCCGCGGUAAUACGUAGGUGGCAAGCGUUGUCCGGAUUUAUUGGGCGUAAAGCGAGCGCAGGCGGUUUCUUAAGUCUGAUGUGAAAGCCCCCGGCUCAACCGGGGAGGGUCAUUGGAAACUGGGAGACUUGAGUGCAGAAGAGGAGAGUGGAAUUCCAUGUGUAGCGGUGAAAUGCGUAGAUAUAUGGAGGAACACCAGUGGCGAAGGCGGCUCUCUGGUCUGUAACUGACGCUGAGGCUCGAAAGCGUG
rnacentral:rRNA from 1 species